UAAUGCCUAUGUCACAAACGAUCCUGUUU
rnacentral:piRNA from 1 species